UACGUAGGGUGCAAGCGUUGUCCGGAAUUAUUGGGCGUAAAGAGCUCGUAGGCGGCUCGUCGCGUCGACCGUGAAAACCCGGGGCUUAACUUCGGGCUUGCGGUUGAUACGGGCGGGCUGGAGUUCGGUAGGGGAGACUGGAAUUCCUGGUGUAGCGGUGAAAUGCGCAGAUAUCAGGAGGAACACCGGUGGCGAAGGCGCUGCUCUGGGCCGGUACUGACGCUGAGGAGCGAAAGCAUGGGGAGCGAACAGG
rnacentral:rRNA from 1 species